rnacentral:misc_RNA from 1 species
GCAUGGCUUANUCUUUGAGACAAGCAUAUGACUACUGGCAGGAUCAACCAGGUAGCAUUCCUUCACGACGUCUGCCAAGCAUGAUCCAUCGUGAAAAGCUCGAGAGCUCCACGUGGUCAAAAACAAGGCGCAGAGCGUCAUUUCGAUAAAAGCGAUAAACGCUUGAGAUUGGGAACAAGGGCCGAUGACCCUAGACCCACGAAAAAAGUUCCGCAUCCGAGAGAACAAGUAAAGCGCUCGCAGUCCAUCCGAACAAUCAACUGAGAUGUGUUNGAGGAAUGCAAGCCCCACUAUCUCGUCCAACCGAGCACCCAUAGAGGGUGUCGCGUUGAAAUAGACAACAAUAGGCACAAUUUCCAUCGCAAUAGGGUAUGUAGCACAGGAACCCGCCUUUUGCAUCCACAUUAGUUCAUGAAGCAAAAACUUGAUCGAAAGUGAGGGAAGCAGUUCGAUGACCGAGCACGGAGCCUGCCAACACACACUUCCUUAUCACC